rfam:Asian citrus Psyllid, Diaphorina citri - Florida Strain, whole genome shotgun sequence.
GCUGGCAGCAAAAGCAAGUUCAAUGCACCAGUCCCGAAUAGAUCACUGAAGUUAAGCACCGUAGUGCGUGUUCAGUAUCCGGAUGGGUGACCAUUUGGGCAAUUGCGUCUUACUGGCU